CAGCCGCCGCGGGAAUACGGAGGGUGCAAGCGUUAAUCGGAAUUACUGGGCGUAAAGCGCACGCAGGCGGUCUGACAAGUCAGAUGUGAAAUCUCCGGGCUUAACCUGGGAACUGCAUUUGAAACUGUCAGGCUGGAGUCUUGUAGAGGGGGGUGGAAUUCCAGGUGUAGCGGUGAAAUGCGUAGAGAUCUGGAGGAAUACCGGUGGCGAAGGCGGCCCCCUGGACAAAGACUGACGCUCAGGUGCGAAAGCGUGGGGAGCAAACAGGAUUAGAUACCCCUGUAGUCCCUGUCUCUUAUAC
rnacentral:rRNA from 1 species